CCUACGGGGGGCAGCAGUGGGGGAUAUUGCACAAUGGGGGAAACCCUGAUGCAGCGACGCCGCGUGGGUGAAGAAGCGCCUCGGCGCGUAAAGCCCUGUCAGCAGGGAAGAAAAUGACGGUACCUGAAGAAGAAGCCCCGGCUAACUACGUGCCAGCAGCCGCGGUCAUACGUUGGGGGCAAGCGUUAUCAGGAUUUACUGGGUGUAAAGGGGGCGCAGACGGCGAUGCAAGACAGGAAUGAAAGCCCGGGGGCCAACCCCGGGACUGCUCUUGGUACUGCGUGACUAGAGUGAGGGAGGGGCAGGCGGAAUUCCAGGUGUAGCGGUGAAAUGCGUAGAUAUAAGGAGGAACACCGGAGGCGAAGGCGGCCUGCUGGACUGCAACUGACGUUGAGGCCCGAAAGCGUGGGGAGCAAACAGGAUUAGAUACCCUUGUAGUC
rnacentral:rRNA from 1 species